rnacentral:rRNA from 1 species
UAUUUAAAAUGUAAAUUUUUUGCCAGGUUAGUAUUAGUUAUUUUCUUGAAAACAAAAAAAUUUGGCGGUAUUUUAGUCUUUUCAGAGGAACCUGCCCUGUAAUUGAUAGUCCACGAUUAUUUUUACUUGUAUUUAUGGCUUGUAUAUCGUCGUGGUUGAUUUUUUUAUUAGAAUACUAAUAGUCAAUUUUCUUUAUUAGGAAUGAAAUCAGAUCAAGAUGCAGUUAUAUACAAGGAGAGGUGGGUUACAAUAAGUUUACUUAAAUGGUUAAGAUUUUUAAAUAUUUCUUAUAAAGUGGAUUUGAUAGU